CGAAUCACUGCAACAGAUAAGGUAUUUGACGAGUAGUCGUCCGUGUGAAACAAGUGAAAAUGAGUGGAAAUCAAAAAUAUCCGCGUUUCAUCGCCGCUAAUGUUUACCAGAAACCUACUAAUUUACUACCUAAAAUCCCACUUGGAAAGCCCGCAGAUAGAAAGAAAACUAUAAAUAAUCCACAAAAUCAAGAAAUGAAAAAGUGCUAAGAAGUUUUUAGUUGCAGAAAUUUUAAACUAUUUGUCAUAUUUCAUAUUGUAUUUCGAUUUCUUGGACCCGCUAUCAUAUCAACAUUAUUACAGAACAUUUUAUUUUAAUAUUGCUUAUAUUUGGGAAUUUACUUGGGAAGACCACAAAAGGUGACGACGGGCUGACGACUCCGUUAAGGUUUAGGCUUUAACCAAAGUUUCAGAUAUUACAGCACAAACAAGAUUAGCUCACAAAAGUUAUUAAAUAAAACACAAUGGAUAUAUAAAUAUAUUGGAAAAACUGAAUGAAUAUUAAACAAAUAAAAAUAUGUUUCAAAGAUGUUACGACGUUUCAGAUUUCUUUUUAUACUAAAUUCUCCAAGAACUCCUCAUGAUUGUCAAAUGUUUCUGUUAUCUAUAUGAAUAUUUAUAGACGAAAAUGGUUGAUAAGACUUUGAAUUCGUAAUAUUUUGUAUCGAAAUCAAAAGCAAUUUUGUAGUAAUAAUGAUUUAGGAGAUAUGCGUUUCUGAUACAAUAAAAUCCAUAAAAAAUUGGUUAUUUAAUAAGAAAUUCCUUAAACUUUAGCCAAAUGUUAAUAAAGCGGUCAAUCGAUGUCAAAUAGAACUAACCGCAGAUAAUAACUUACAUUUAUAAUUUAUCAAACAAGUUUCCGUGUUGGUGGGCGACGCUCGCGUCUCUUUUAUUCCAAAAUGGAUUCAUUUAUUAAAUUUGUAAAAAGUGUUUUGCCGCCGGGGCCACAAACUUCCUCUUCGCUCGUGGAAGCCAGGGUGUUCCAGAAACCCACAAAUCAGUUACCGCCUUCACGAGACAGCACGCCUCCAGGUACACCUCCAGGAUCGCCAAAGCCCGAAAAGAAGACCAAUGAAAGCGAAGGAGAGAAAGAUAAAUAGAUUAUAAUUAACACUUAAAAGUAUUAGAGUUUAAAUCAUAAAAGGACUUGCAUAGCAGUAAAAGUGGAUUUUAAAAUCUUUAGAUUAUAUAAUCUUACUUUCUGUGUAAUGGAUAAAAUAACAAAAUUUCGUCCCAAUUUAUAAUGUAUAACAUAUUACAUAUAGCGAAGUGAAGUUAUAAGAAAAUUUACAGAAUCAUUUAUAAAAUUUUGGUUCAGUGUAAUAUGUUUCUGGAUUUUAACCAUGACUCCUCUGGAUUUAGAGAUCUGUAGGCCUCAGGGCAACAAAGGAGUGCCAGCUCUCUGGCCCCAAAAUUUUAUUCACAAUAUAUUGUAUAUUUUUUACAUCCUUCCAGCCAAUACGAUUAUGUCGAAAAUAUGAUACACACAUUGUUUCGGAGACACCAUUCACUUAGUGAAACGUUUUUGUUAAUUUUUUAAAUAGAAUAUAUAUUUUUUUAUAUAUAAGUCGUUGUGAAACCAA